rnacentral:rRNA from 1 species
GAGUUUGAUCAUGGCUCAGAUUGAACGCUGGCGGCAUGCCUUACACAUGCAAGUCGAACGGCAGCAUGAUCUAGCUUGCUAGAUUGAUGGCGAGUGGCGAACGGGUGAGUAAUACAUCGGAACGUGCCCUGUAGUGGGGGAUAACUAGUCGAAAGAUUAGCUAAUACCGCAUACGACCUGAGGGUGAAAGUGGGGGACCGCAAGGCCUCAUGCUAUAGGAGCGGCCGAUGUCUGAUUAGCUAGUUGGUGGGGUAAAGGGCCCACCAAGGCGACGAUCAGUAGCUGGUCUGAGAGGGCGAUCAGCCACACUGGGACUGAGACACGGGCCCAGACUCCUACGGGAGGCAGCAGUGGGGAAUUUUGGACAAUGGGCGAAAGCCUGAUCCAGCAAUGCCGCGUGUGUGAAGAAGGCCUGGUUGUAAG